UACGUAGGUGGCAAGCGUUGUCCGGAUUUACUGGGCGUAAAGAGCGCGCAGGCGGUCGUUCAAGUCGCGUGUGAAAGCCCCCGGCUCAACUGGGGAGGGUCACGCGAUACUGAUCGACUCGAAGGCAGGAGAGGGUAGUGGAAUUCCCGGUGUAGUGGUGAAAUGCGUAGAUAUCAGGAAGAACACCUAUGGCGAAGGCAGCACUCUGGGACGGUACUGACGCUGAGACGCGAAAGCGUGGGGAGCGAACAGG
rnacentral:rRNA from 1 species